UAUGUCUCAUGCUGUGCCCCGAACUCAACCUGCCCUGGGGAUUGUUUCCUUCUCACUUGCCUCAGCUCUGGCCUCUUCAAUUCUUUAACAUGGAGGGGAUGGGUGAGCAGAUACGCACACCGCUCUUGCAGGCACAAGGAAAGUCACUUAGAAAAAAAUUACAGAAAAAUGCUGAGGUCUUUCAGAGGCCAUCAGCUCCACGAGACCAUCCUGGCUCCCACUGCUCUCCCUCUUUCCGCAACAAGAGCAUGCUGAGACCCAUGCAGCCCAACACCUCAUCUCCAACAGCAGACAGCAUCAAACUUCAAAGAAAGCCUCAGGAACUGCUCAGAAGAGGACAACCGUCUCUCCUUGUUCCCAUAUCUGUAUGAAUGUUCCAAACACCUGAACCUGACAGCAGGUUUUGGCCUUGCAUGAGCUGGAAAAAGAAGUCCCCUCAUCAGCAAACCCUACCCCAGAAGGAGGAUUCUGCAUUCCAAUAAUUUUUAUUUUUUUAUUUUUUUUACCAUCACUGUUUUCUGCCAGCAUACAAGGAGUCUUUGUGAUCCUGGCUCCAUUGGCUCUGUACAGGUCUCAGGACAGGAAGGUGGCCUGGACGUUACCGAGGGAGCGGAAGCUCUAAUGGCAACUCCAGCACAAAUGCUCGUGACAAGGCUGUCAUAUCAGUGGGAAAUUUCAGCAGGAGCACUGGAGAGGACAGAGGGGGUAUAAUGAGUGAAAUGGGUGAAAUCCAAGUUUGUACAGUGGUGCUGGGAGGAAGGAGGGUAAACAGGAGGAACUUGAAGUCACAGCCAACACUGACUGAUUUGACAUCAAAGGCAGUGAAAGCACACAAGUCUGGAGCGGUGGCAGGGAGAACAACGGCUUGUUUGGGAAGGGCAGAUGAAGGGGACAGAAGCACUCUUUGGAAGAGUAAUAGCCCAUAGACUUGUUCAAAACCCAAGAGAAGUUAAAGGCAAGUUUGCAUAAUGUCUGGAUGGAAAUUAGAGGAAAAUAACAAAUGUGCGGUCAUAGGAGCCGGUUUGCAGGAACAGAAGUUAAUGAGGGGUUUCAGGAUGUCUGUGAAGGUAACAGAAACAGCCCGUGCCCUUGUUAGGGCCCCUCAUGCACGAAAAAGCUUCAAUUACCCUGAACAGCCUCACCUGGGACCCCAGCCAUGUGUCCUGGAUCAGACCUUGCUUCAGCUGCAUUGCAGGUGCCCCUGAUUUCAUCUCUCUCUGGCCUGGUUUCCUGCUGCUCAGACGUGACUCCCUGCUUGGGCCCUAGACCUGAUUCAUCCCUUCACCUCACCUGGGACUAUCAGUGGACCCUGUUAUCAGCUGGCUGUGUGACAGCCCUGCUCUUGCUGCUCCCAGACACCCUACAGGUCUGUUGGAGAAUCAACCCAGCAGCCACAGAUCACCCAUUCAAUUCCAAUGACAUCUGAGUUGGCCUAGAAUAUCAAGAAAUGUUUUUGGGUGCCACUAGAAACAGAAAUUGAUGUCUGAUGAUAUCUCCCAGACCCACAAAGAAGUUCUGGAUAACUCAUGGCAUCUUUCUGAUGGCUCUAUAGGCCUGUGUGUGGUCAGAUGAACUGAUCUGUUGGGCUCAGCACUGUACUAAGUGGUAGGACAAUGCUGAGAGCUGUCCCCAGGAAGCCAGUCAUGCUAACAUCAGCCCUUCUUGAUUUGUAUUUUCCCACCACAAGAGAUGUUCUAGCACCCAGCAGCCCCCGUGCCAGCCCAGACAGUUCUGGAAAAUGGCAACUCAGGAGCUAUAGGUAGCCUAAAUGGGAUUAAAGGCAGGCAGAAAGCCCGUAGCUUUUGGAAGAAACUGUUUUAGAGACAAAAGACAAAAAUCCUGGUGCAGAAGGAAGACAGAAGCAGCAAGAUACUUAGUUAUCAUUA